UACAGAGGUCCCAAGCGUUGUUCGGAUUCACUGGGCGUAAAGGGUGCGUAGGUGGCAAGGUAAGUUGGGUGUGAAAGCUCGGAGCUUAACUCCGAAACGGCAUUCAAAACUACCUGGCUAGAGGGUCGGAAGGGAGACUGGAAUUCUCGGUGUAGCGGUGAAAUGCGUAGAUAUCGAGAGGAACACCAGUGGCGAAAGCGAGUCUCUGGACGACUCCUGACACUGAGGCACGAAAGCUAGGGGAGCAAACAGG
rnacentral:rRNA from 1 species